rnacentral:ncRNA from 1 species
UCUUAUCAAGAGUGGUGGAGGGACUGGCCCGUUGAAACCCGGCAACCUGUUGCAAGUGACAAGUGAUAAGUGAUAAAUGGCAAGUUAAUAUUAAUAACUUGCCAUCUGUCACUUGAAACUUGUCACUGUUCGAACGUGGUGCUAAUUCCACAGCUUUAAGCUGAUAGAUAAGG